CAAUAGCGUAUAUUUAAGUUGCUGCAGUUGAAAAGCUCGUAGUUGGAUUUCGGGUGGGAAUGGCCGGUCCGCCGUUUCGGUGUGCACUUGCUACGCCCACCUUGCUGCCGGGGACGUGCUCUUGAGUUCACGCUCGGGACACGGAGUCGGCGAGGUUACUUUGAGUAAAUUAGAGUGUUCAAAGCAGGCCUACGCUCUGAAUACAUUAGCAUGGAAUAACACGAUAGGACUCUGGCCUAUCUUGUUGGUCUGUAGGACCGGAGUAAUGAUUAAGAGGGACAGUCGGGGGCAUUCGUAUUUCAUUGUCAGAGGUGAAAUUCUUGGAUUUAUGAAAGACGAACUACUGCGAAAGCAUUUGCCAAGGAUGUUUUCAUUAA
rnacentral:rRNA from 1 species